CAAGUCGAACGAAUCCCGCCCGGGUAACUGGGCGGGGGAAGUGGCGAAAGGGGCAGUAAGGCAUGGGUAACCUGCCCCGGACUUCGGGAUAGCCCUUCUAACGAGGGGGUAAUACCGAACGCCGUAGCGGCGGGGCCUCCCGCUGCUACGAAAGCUCCGGCGGUCCGGGAGGGGCUCAUGUGGUAUUAUGCUAGUUGGUGGGGUGACGGCCCACCAAGGCCAAGAUGCCUAGCAGGUGUGAGAGCACGACCUGCGCCACUGGCACUGUGACACUGGCCAGACUCCUACGGGAGGCUGCAGUCGAGGAUCUUCGGCAAUGGGCGAAAGCCUGACCGAGCGACGCCGCGUGUGCGAUGAAGGCCUUCGGGUUGUAAAGCACUGUCGUGGGGGAGAAAGGCCCGCAAGGGCUUGAUCGACCCCAGGGGGAAGCUCGGGCUAAGUUCGUGCCAGCAGCCGCGGUAAGACGAACCGAGCGAACGUUAUUCGGAAUCACUGGGCUUAAAGGGCGCGUAGGCGGGCGGCCAAGUCAGGGGUGAAAGCCCCCAGCUCAACUGGGGAAGUGCCUCUGAUACUGGUCAUCUCGAGGGAGGUAGGGGCGUGCGGAACUUCCGGUGGAGCGGUGAAAUGCGUAGAUAUCGGAAGGAACACCGGUGGCGAAAGCGGCGCGCUGGACCUCUUCUGACGCUGAUGCGCGAAAGCCAGGGGAGCAAACGGGAUUAGAUACCCCGGUAGUCCUGGCCCUAAACGUUGGGCACUAGGUUGUGGACUUACAUGGGUUCACAGCCGAAGCAAAAGUGUUAAGUGCCCCGCCUGGGGAGUAUGGUCGCAAGGCUGAAACUC
rnacentral:rRNA from 1 species